CUGAAGUUCGGACCGGUCUGGUCCGGUCGCUUUUCUCGGUCCGGACCGACCAGCUUACCAGCAGGCUUCCAGCUCAAAGCCCCUCCCAUUUCCAAACAGGCAAACACCUCCCGUCCAAAACCCUACUUCGAACGCCAGUCAACACGCGGAGAUCUCAGAGAUUAAAUAAAAAUUCCUAGGGAUGUCCUUCCCCAUACUCCGAUCCCGCCUCGCCUCCUUGCUCACGAAGCACCACCGACGCCCAUUAAGCUCCGACGUCCAGCCAUUUGCCUCGUCGCCUGCAUCUGCCGCUGCUGUUGCUCCUCCUCCUCCUAAUACUACUACAGAUACUCCUCUGGGUCCUUUCGAUGCGAGCGUUUCAAGCAGCAACAAAGGUUGGAGGUUUCUCAAGUACGGUCUCAUCGUUGCCCUCACCGGAGCCACCGCCACUGCAGGCUACGCCUCAUAUGCGUACACUUUGGAUGAUAUCGACGUGAAGACGAGGGCAUUACGAUCAUCAGUUAAUUUCAAUGCGACGGACGAUGCCUCGGCUGUUGAAAAAUUUAAAGGUUUGCUUAACUCUGCUGCAAUGACAGUGCCUGCUAAAGCAAUUGAGCUUUACUUGGAAAUGGGGAGGCUAAUCGAAGAGCAAGUUCAGAGUUUUGCUGAACCAUACGCAGAGAAGCUUCUUCCGGAUUUGCAUCCUGCAGAGCAACAUGUUUUUACACUUGUUCUUGAUCUGCAAGAGACCCUAAUUCACUAUGAUUGGACGCGAGAGAAAGGCUGGCAAACUCUCAAAAGACCUGGAGUUGAUGCUUUCUUGGAACAUCUGGCUCAGUUCUAUGAAAUUGUCAUAUAUUCUGACGAGCAGAGUAUGUUUGUAGAUCCUGUUGUAGAAAGGCUGGAUCCUAAGCAUUGCAUACGAUAUAGGCUAUCUAAGGGCGCUACCAAGUACCAGAAUGGGAACCAUUACAGAGAUCUUUCAAAGCUUAACAGAAAUCCUGGAAAGAUUCUUUAUUUGAGUGGCCAUGCGCUGGAAGGUUGCCUUCAACCAGAGAAUUGUGUUCCUGUCAAGCCAUGGAAGCAGCAUGAGACAGAUGAUACAGCUCUUUUGGAUUUUAUACCAUUUCUUGAAUUUGUUGCCCGUACCAGUCCACCUGAUAUCAGACCAGUACUGGCAUCAUACCAAGGGUGUGAGAUCCCAACAGAGUUCAUUAGGCGUUCUAAAGACUAUCAGAGGCGAAUGGAAGAACAGAAGCAGCAUGGUCGUUUAUGGAAGCGUUGAGGCCAGAAUAAAUUUUAAAAGAGGUGAAGGAAAUUGCAGGGCUUGAUUAUUAACUUGGGGUGACGAAAAAAAAAUAAAUACAAGGCACUGCUUUUGAAGAAUCUACAGGAACUGAAAUGUGCAUUAUUACAAGUCUUCUGGGUCGUCUUGGCCUAGACCAGGCUUUACGGCGAAGUUUCCUGGAAAGGUGGUGGCAUUUUGGAUUUUCUUUGUACCCCAAAUGUCAAUGCGGUGGCGUUUCGCUUUCUCAAUAACUGGUUCAGUUGAGUUUUCCAUCAACUUGGGUUUUCUUUUCUUUUCU